UUGGACCCCACCCCAGCUAUGACGAUUGUGCUCAGUUUCCCCCUGAUGAUCAUGUUGGACACACUAAUUCCCCCUGCUCUGAUAAUAAUGAUAGAUACACCAAGAUUGGACCCCCAAUCUGUUCUGAUGCUUGUGCUGAAUUCAUCAAGCUUGGACCCCAUUCCCAACUCUGAUGAUCAUACUUGAUGCCCCCCUGAUGAUCAUGUUGGACAUAGUAAUCCCCCCUGCUAUGAUAAUAGUGCUAGAUACACCAAGGUUGGGCACCCCCCCCCAUCAUGCUUGUUCUGGAUUCAUUAAGGUUAGCCCCCCACCCACCACUUUGAUGAUCACCCUCGAUUUCCCCCUAAUAAUCCCACUCAACACAUUAAGGUGAACCACUUGAUUCGCUAAGUACGCACCUCAUCCCCACACUCUGACCAUCGCGCCCGAUUUCUUCCCCCCCUGGUGAGUCACAUGACCAUCCAUCCAUUUUCCUUAAUUUACGCAGGGAAGCUGGAACCCAUCCCAGCAAUCACUGGGUUCAAGGCAGGAACAACACCUGGACAGGACGCCAGCCCAUCACAGGGUGAUUUGAUUUUAUGUUGCUCACAGAGUCCCGAAUGAGGCACUUUAGGUGUAUUGUGAGGGAGCGUCAGUAACGGCACUACAGCCACGUGGCGCGAUUACCCGAGGCUGAUCCAGCUCAAGGUUGAGGACCCGAGUGGCUGGACCAGGCCAAGGGGACGCCCACAUAACACAUAGAUGGGUGGGACUGGACCACGUGUCUGAAUGUUUGCCAACCAGGGUCCUGAGCUGUUUUGUUGUGUGGUGGGUGCUGCGCCAGUGCAGGCUCGCCAACCUGACCGACUAGUGCAGCGUUUCUCAACCUUUAAGUAUUUGCGACCCGAGUUUUCAUAACAGUUUUAAUCGUUUUUUUUGAAAGGAGCCCACUAAUACCAAUUUGUUCUUUUUUAAUUAAUGAUAUAUCAGAGAUGGAUAUUUUAUUAUACCUACUUAACUUUCAUCGACAUUUAUCUAACUCUAUAUUUAUUUUUCCAGUAUCAGCAUGCAGCUUAAGUUCAUUUAUUUUGGUUUCAAUAGAUGUAUUUUUCAUAUUUUCGAUUCUUGUUUUCUUUUUUUCACAUCUUUGCGCCCCCCCCCUUUUAGUUACUUCAUGCCCCCCCCCCCCCCCGGGGGUCCCGCCCC